CUAGGAUAGAGUUUGAUCUUGGCUCAGAACGAACGCUGGCGGCGCGCUUAACACAUGCAAGUCGAACGAGAAGGCGUAGCAAUACGCUUGUAUAGUGGCGAACGGGUGAGGAAUACGUGGGUGACCUACCCUCGAGUGGGGAAUAACCCGCCGAAAGGCGGGCUAAUGCCGCGUACGCUUCCGUCCUCGCGGGGACGGAAGGAAAGUCAUGCCGGUGGGCAGUGGCGCUACGAAGGAGUGGGCUCACCGUCCUAUCAGCUUGGUUGGGUAGGGUAACGGCCUACCAAGGCUCCGGACGGGUAGCUGGUCUGAGGA
rnacentral:rRNA from 1 species